rnacentral:rRNA from 1 species
GAUGAACGCUGGCGGCGUGCCUAAUACAUGCAAGUCGAGCGAACAGACGAGGAGCUUGCUCCUCUGACGUUCGCGGCGGACGGGUGAGUAACACGUGGAUAACCUACCUAUAAGACUGGGAUAACUUCGGGAAACCGGAGCUAAUACCGGAUAAUAUAUUGAACCGCAUGGUUCAAUAGUGAAAGACGGUUUUGCUGUCACUUAUAGAUGGAUCCGCGCCGCAUUAGCUAGUUGGUAAGGUAACGGCUUACCAAGGCAACGAUGCGUAGCCGACCUGAGAGGGUGAUCGGCCACACUGGAACUGAGACACGGUCCAGACUCCUACGGGAGGCAGCAGUAGGGAAUCUUCCGCAAUGGGCGAAAGCUUGACGGAGCAACGCCGCGUGAGUGAUGAAGGUCUUCGGAUCGUAAAACUCUGUUAUUAGGGAAGAACAAAUGUGUAAGUAACUAUGCACGUCUUGACGGUACCCAAUCAGAAAGCCACGGCUAACUACGUG